UCCGAUGUAGUGUAACGGCUAUCACAGUACGCUCUCACCGUGCAGACCCGGGUUCGACUCCCGGCAUCGGAG
rnacentral:tRNA from 2 species